CAGUCCAGAAUGUUCAAACG
rnacentral:miRNA from 1 species